rnacentral:lncRNA from 1 species
GGAUUUUUUUUUAAAAAGCAUUAAACCUGAAUUUAAAGAAACUAAAAAAUUUUACUCAUUGCCCCAUCAGAACCAUGGCAGUAAAUGACGGAAAUAUUUAUUGUUCGCUAAACUUUGCUGAAGGAUAAACAGCCUUUAAUGUACAUUCAAAAUAGCUCGUUUGUAAUGAAAGCUUGGCCCAUCUUUUCAUUCAAGAAUGAAAGUGUGGAGCUAUUAAUUCUUCUUGCUUAAGCUCCAUACAGACUUAAUUUCUACCCUAGUUGUUUCUGUGUCAUUAAGAAAACUCACGCUAUCUUUAUCUUUCAAAGAAACUUUUAAGCAAAAUUUGUUGGCUCUGGCACGGCAGGUCUAAGUGCAGCAUUGUCUGCAAAGCAGCGUAGAUUCUUCAUGUUUCAUUUUAAAGACAUAAGAAGCUCUAGAGCAUAUCCCAUGUAACACAUGUAAAACCAAACUGAUACAGAUAAUAGAACAUAUUACAUUGCCACCUGUAUGUGAAACAGAUUGUGAAAUCAGAACAAAGUAGAGAAGGCAAGUAACCUGGAAAUAUUCCGUAACAUAAUUAUCCCCUAUCCUAAGACAUAUCUGAGGACCCUUACACAACUCUGUGAAUUUAAAUAUGCAUGAGAAAGUCCAGUAAAUCCUAAAGUCGUUUUUAAACGGCAUUUAAUUUCCAAAAUAACCUGAGUGUUUAAUUAGUAUAUUUCUAGAACAGUGACAUCCACACUGCUCAAGUUAUCUUUCGAAAUUUCAGUAAUCAUAGAAAAAUAAGACAACUAAAUAAUCAACGCAGACAAUUAAAUCAAAAUGGCUAUAUGCAUGUGUCUAUAUAUUUAAACGUUUGUACUUAGAAAAAAAAAUUAAACUUCAGCCCCCAGUACAUCGGAAUUGAAAACCCACCGUUCCUGAUCCACACGUCUUUCCAAUCAGCUAUUAAAUGGUGAUAUAACUCCUUGAUGUUAAUGAAGGGACAUACCCGAUAUCAAGACCACAACAUGGGCAAAAACCCUGUGCCUUUUCUGAUUGUGGUGUAUUGUAAUGAGAUAGAAGCGCUCCGUAUGUCUACUCACCCCAUGUUCAGAUUGAGAGAGGCAAGCCUGUGCUUGCAUAGACUGAACUGAGCUGCGGAUUGUGAAGCUACUUGGAUAAAAGGAAUGAUAAGGACCUAUGUUCUUUCCUUUGUAAGAUGGGGAAAGCAAGCUUAAAAAUAAGGAGAAGGAGAUGCAACAAGAGGGAGUCAAAGCCCAGGGCUCCUAGCAUUCAAAUGAUACGCAGGUCUUGAGUCACAAAGGCUUCCAGAUUUCUCCAAGUGUUUUUGCUAGAAAGCUUUGUUCUCUGUUUUCUAAAUUACAAGAAAAAUUUUGGUUUAAUAUGUGGAGAGAUGUCUUAAAACAACGAGGCUUGUAUUCAUUUAAAAUACUGUCUGCAUGCCACACCUCGAGACAGUCUAAAGAUUUGCAUGUGUACCCUGCAAUACUAUGGACAUACUCUGCAGACAUAUUUUAGAUGACUCCUGAGCCUUCCUAUUUAUUUGAGGAUGCUUCACUCACGACAUCAAUGAUUUCACUAGAACAAACAAAUGAGAGAUUUUCAAGCAAGUACCAAGGUGUUAAGAGAGCCACGGUUGUGUUUUCCCUGUUAAGCAAAGGAUCUGCUAACUGAAAGCAGUCUGGGAAUUGGAGCAGUGGGUUCAAUUUACAAACUUUAAAAAACAUAUUCCUAUCAAAUUUACAGGAAGUUGUUAAUGAAACAAGACAAAACAUAUCCACUUUAGUUUGUCAAACAGAAAAGAACAUUUAAAAAAGCACAUUUCUCACGAAUAGUAUUUAUUUUGUUUGUUCAAUCAGUACUAUCAUAAGAUUACAAGUGGACUUGAUUUGUAUAUUUUAAUUAAAGAACUAUCACAAAUUGAUUUUCUUAUUUUUUUAAUUGCACAGAGUUUAAACUACCUUGAUAAAUUCUACUUUCUUCCAGGCUAAAUGCUUUUUCUGGAAAUAAAUAUAUAACUUGAAUAUAUAUUUGUUAACUUUCUUUUUUCUGAAUGCAUGCCUAAAAUAGGUUAAUGAGCACAGUCCUUAAAAAUACAUUUAAAGUGGACCAAAUCAAGAUUCUCAUAGUAUUGAUUUUCCCUUGAUGUAAUUUAAAGUGUGUAAACUGCCACUCACACUAGAAGUGCAAUACCUGGCAUUUAACCAUUUGGCAAUCUUUUAGAUAAUAGCUGAAUUAAUGCACCGUUGUUUGAACUGAGGCAUCUCAUUGCAGUAUAUAUGUAACAAAUUUUGUAUGAUACAAAACUUUACAGCAAGCUAUUUGAAUGUUUAUUAAAAAAUUCUCAAAAUGACAUGGAAACAUGUUUACUGUAUAAAUAAAAGCACUUAUACA